CUCUCUCUCAAGUGUGAGGUAGGAGAAUAGGAUAGUGAUGGUGUAUAGGCAUUCAGCCAAAAAAAACCAUCAGCUUUGAAGUCUCUGCAGCUUGCCCUGACUUACGUGUCUCACAGUAAAUCAGAGCAGGCAGUAAAAGCAGCCCCCACAGCUAGACUGGCACUUUUUUAACGAUUAUCUAAGGCUAUCUCCUUUUGAAAUAAUAAAAAAAAAAAUCUCUUCUGCUCCUGACACCUUAAUAAUAGUAAGUAUAGCUCAUUUGUCCUCAUUCCUUAAGAACCAUUUAAGUACUGUAGAAAGGAUACCCAUAUUUUUGUGCAUCAAAGACAGUCUUAUGCACUGGAAUUGAUCCUGGAACAGAACAAGAAAACUUUUACUUUAGGAACAUAGUGGGGCAGUUAGGUGUUAUGUGAUGAGAGCUACUAGUAUCCGUUCCCUGUCCUUCCAGGCUUUGGGCCAGAGGCAGCACGUUGCGAGACCCCAGCUGCUGGCAGCGCUCCUGUCUGCAUCCCUGCUGGAGCGAGCAAUGGACGGCUCCAGCUCCAGCCACUCGAACCCUCCGAUCACACUACUUUAUCUCCACGAGUACAACAGAUCACAGACAAAACCCGAAUCACAUCUGGUAGUACCAUGUCAAGAAGCUGUGCAAUUUUCUUGGUGAGAAUACUCAGGGAAUUAUCUUGGCUUGUGCUACAGAAACUUAGAAUUAUUCUUUAGCUUUUUUAAACUACUUUAAAAUGAUCUACCUACAGCCAACAGCUGGUUCCCAAUGCGUGACUGCCAGUGUCGAUGGAAAAAAAAAAUCUCUUCAACGGCCUGCAGUAUAUGAUAUUUCUGGUGUUGUUACAUCCAGCUUUACUGAGAGCAAAUGCAAUUUUUUAAGACAUAUGUUUGUUUAUCACUGAAGGCUCAUUUUAUAAGAAAAAUGAAACUACAGUGCAUUCUAUCCUAUGCAUAAUGGCAAUACCUAUCCUAUGAAGAAUUUGGAGACUUAUUCUUGACUUCAGUUUCAGCUCUUUUUCUGUUACCUUUAAGAAAAGGAAGCUAUAACUUCACGACCUGAUUGCCAGAGGCAGCGAGAAACUUCCGAAGUCGCACAAAACACCUGCUUCAGACCCUCUGAAAACUGACCGACUUUCUCCUUUUAGUGACUCUUUCCCAAAACAUCUUGCAAGCCUGUUUGAGCCAGACGUCACCCAAUUUACAUCCCAAGAUCUACGAGCACUACUCAGACUACUGGCCUCUGACACCAGUAGUCGGCCAAGAGCUGUGUGCGGCUUGUCUCCAAGUCACUCAGCAGGGCUGGGAGAGGAAGCACAACAACCCUGAUUUCUUUCACUGGCAGAGUAAGAUGUCAUAUGAACCAAGACACCCAGUGGCAAGAACCAUAAGAGGAGGAAGUUCAGAAAAGUUUAACACAACUUUGUUAUAUUUAGACCCACAUUUUCAGUUUCUAUCACUUUUUCCAGUCUCUAAAAUGAAAUAAUGCUGGUUGAAUAAUGAAUUUACUUUUUCUAGAAAUAGGAUCAAUUUUCUUAUUUAUUUGCUGUGAAACUCCAAAAAGAGUUCACAGGCCUCCAGGGAUCUAAAGCUCAUGUACUGAAAGCACCGAUCUAGAACGUAACAGAGAGCAAAACAGAGAACUGUGAGAAGCCCCUGCCGCACCUGCAACGCUGCCUGAAGCCCUGCAGCAUCCCGCAAAGCGGACGGCUCUGCUCACCCGCCGCAUGUCGAGCUGCCUCCAGCCCGAGGAGGGAUGAGAGCGACUGGGCAGGGCUGCUGCCCGGUUUUGUCGCCAGGCCUAGGCCACACACACCAGAAGAGGAGCUCAAGCUUGAGCAUGCAGAGCUGCAUUUCUUUCAGCCCUCGGCAUGCCUGUCCGCAGCCACUCAGCUGCAAACCUGCCUACCAGCAAGGGGAUUUAUUCUCACCCUCUGUUAUGCAGCACAGAUAUGCCCAGAGAUUCACAGGAGCUUUCUGGACUACACAAAAACUCUUUCGUAAUCUUUCUAUUCUGUAUAUCUUUCCUCAGGCUGACAGAGGAUAUACCAACUCUUUCUUAAAUUAGGCAAUGUGAGUUCACCAGCCUGAAAGCAUAUCUGCUAAAAGCUCUUCAGGAGCUUGCCCUGGAGUAAGGAAUAGCUACAACAUCAGUACUAGCAGAUGAGUCAGCACCUGAGGCUUAAUUUUCUUCCUGGCGAUAAAAGCACUUAACACCUGUGGGAAGAAAAACAUUCCCAGGACUUGCCUUCUAGAAGCCCAUCUCAGGAAGAUGUUUCCUCUCAACUUGCACACUGGUGGGUUUUUUAGUUUUACUCAGUCUAGCAAUGAGCUAACUUGGCCGAUCAUAUUCUCUUCUUGUUGACGGGGACUCGUGAUGCUGUUAUUGAUGUAUGUGAUUACAGGGAUUAUCUCCGAGGGAGCCAAUUACAUCUGCAUUCAUCUAAGGGGUUGCUGCAGAACCGCGUGUGACUUCUGAGUUCAAAAUUACACUCAUCAAUGUCUUAAAGUAGUGUCACAGAAAUUAUUUGAUCACACUAGUUAAUUAACAGUUAGAAAUAAUUGGGUAAUCAGAAUUAAUGAAAAUGGGAAGCUGCCUCUUUUAUGCGUAUCUCACAAGAGAAGUAAAUGCUGAAUGUUAAAGUUAUCCCUUAACAAUACAGUUUCAGCUUCAUUCGGCAGCACAGCAUGGAGAACUUCCAAAAGCGCCCAUGUAAAAGAGACUGAAAAACAGAAUGAAAAUGGUCAUAACAGCUUUUUAUGAAAAACCAACGUGAAUAUUUUGGCUUUAGAAACUCAUUUUUCCUUUUCUGAAAUAGUAUGUAGACAUCUCUUUUUCCCUAGAUUUACUUUCAAAUGAACUAGAACAUUCUUUGUAGAAAACUUGGUUUUGCUGAAUGAAAUGUUUUGUAACCAUCUUGAAAACACCAGUAAACAUUCCAGAUAAACAUAGGUAUCUUUCAGUGGAAAACAUUAACUUUGUACAGUGUCCAGCUUUUUAUACCCAAAAAGCUUUCUUUUUUUAAACCUAACCUGCUUAAGCAAGGCUUUAAUUUUUAAUUUGAAAAAUUGCUACCAGCCUGAGAAAUAAUUUAAAAUGUUAUUAUUCUUGGACCAAAGUCAGUCUGUGGUUGUCCUUACUUAAUUUGAACAAUGACAAAACAUGUGUGUGCUUAAUUCUAAAAAAUACAGGAAGUCAUAGAAAUAAAAGAACAUCCUUCAAGGAUGAUGGCAUAAAAUAAAAACAAAUACCAAAGAUGGGAGCCUUCCUUUGUAUUAAGCCAAGGAGUUUAAUACUUGUACCUCUAACGUUUACAGCAUUGUAAAUAUCUCCACUGAUUUCUGCAAGGCUCCUGUAAAACACUGCUUUCAUCCACAGCUAGUUGUAUAUCCCACUGCAGAAUACCAGCAAAUUUGCUGUGCAAGCAGUCCAACAGCACAAGCGUAUUGAUGUGGUAAGCAGCAAGAGGCACAACGUGUUACAGGCAGGAUUGCUUUUCUAUCUCCCUACUAAUAAACUCAAGGCAGAUCCUCAUCCAGUUCUUCUAACGAGGCUCAUGUUCUAGCAGCAGUGCUAUAAUAUCACAGGUUUCACAUCAAUACACAGUUCGUCUUUGCAUUUAUUCUUAUAAUGAGAGUCACUGUGAUGCCCGAGACUCAGGACUGUGACUCCUGCAACCAGCAUCAGCGAUACUAUUUGUAUCAUAUUACCCUGUAAUAUGUUUAGCUCUGUUGCAAGAAAUACACAAAUCACAACCCUUUUCUGUCCCCCACUGAUCAGUAUUAUUGGUAGGUAGUACUUACUUUAGCAGUGUGCCAUUAAUUGGAUGACUUGACUGAGCCUCUGAAUGAAAUAAAAUGCUGGGUGAGCUAAUUUCAUGUCAAUACCAGAAUGCUUUUCUAUCAACUGCGUCACUGCGUUCACAGGCUAAAAUGAAUAAACACGUGUAACCUAUUUGUGUAAUGACUAUAUCAAUUAUAAAAUGUCAAGCUAAGAAAUGUAAAAAGCAGGGCAGAAGGCAACCAAAGUAUUUCCAGGGAUUCAAGUCCUACUUACAGUUUAAAAUAAGUAUUUGUUUUCUGAAAUAAAGAGAUGGUUUUGUUGAA